rnacentral:rRNA from 1 species
UACGAAGGGGGCUAGCGUUGUUCGGAAUUACUGGGCGUAAAGGGCGCGUAGGCGGCGUGUCAAGUCAGGCGUGAAAGCCCCGGGCUCAACCUGGGAACCGCGCUUGAGACUGGCAUGCUCGAGUUCGGGAGAGGAUGGUGGAAUUCCCAGUGUAGAGGUGAAAUUCGUAGAUAUCAGGAAGAACACCCGUGGCGAAGGCGGCUCUCUGGGACGGUACUGACGCUGAGACGCGAAAGCGUGGGGAGCGAACAGG